UGAACGGCUGUGAAGAUGACACAAAAAAGCUAAGCUAUAUUUAUAAUAUUAAAAGUAUAUAGAAAUCCUUGAAAAAACUGGUGAACGGCUUUGUCUUGUGCCAGCCGUUCGUUUAUGUGUUCCAUCCUUGUCUAGGGGAGUGCUAACUUGCUCUCCUUCCAAACAACACGAUAAUGCUCGACGGGCAACGCGCUUAUAUACGUCCGUAUCUGCGAAAAAAUACUUGGGAAUUCU
rnacentral:lncRNA from 1 species